rnacentral:rRNA from 1 species
GAUGAACGCUAGCUACAGGCUUAACACAUGCAAGUCGAGGGGUAGCAGGGUAGCAAUACCGCUGACGACCGGCGCACGGGUGAGUAACACGUAUCCAACCUUCCCAUAACUCGGGGAUAGCCUUUCGAAAGAAAGAUUAAUACCCGAUAGUACUUUUUCAAGGCAUCUUGGGAAAGUUAAAGAUUUAUUGGUUAUGGAUGGGGAUGCGUUCCAUUAGAUAGUUGGUGAGGUAACGGCUCACCAAGCCUUCGAUGGAUAGGGGUUCUGAGAGGAAGGUCCCCCACAUUGGUACUGAGACACGGACCAAACUCCUACGGGAGGCAGCAGUGAGGAAUAUUGGUCAAUGGGCGAGAGCCUGAACCAGCCAAGUAGCGUGAAGGAUGAAGGUCCUAUGGAUUGUAAACUUCUUUUAUAGUAGAAUAAAGUGAUCCACGUGUGGAUUUUUGUAUGUAUACUAUGAAUAAGGAUCGGCUAACUCCGUGCCAGCAGCCGCCGUAA